rnacentral:ncRNA from 1 species
CCUAUCAACUUUCGAUGGUAGUCGCUGUGCCUACCAUGGUGACCACGGGUGACGGGGAAUCAGGGUUCGAUUCCG